rnacentral:ncRNA from 1 species
UUUUUCGGGGCAGGGUGAAAUUCCCUACUGGCGGUAUAGUCCGCGACCCGCUUCGGCGGCUGACUCGGUGAAACUCCGGGACCAACAGUAUAGUCUGGAUGGAAGAAC